UCCCUCCCUUCGAAGUCCUCAAGGCACACAGCAGCCAUGUGCAGGGGUUGCUUGCGGCCCAGCUCUAUAAUAGGCACGUCUGAACUGUAUCCCAGAUGCUGUGGAUUUUGCCAGUUUUGGGGAUCGGGAAGGAAUUUUCUCUGGGGCAAGAAUGACAAGGUGCUUGGUGUUUUUCCCCCUCUUCCCUCCCUCCCCCCACUUUCCUUGCAGUAUCCUGGAAGCCUGGUGUGAGGUUAAUGAGGCAUAAGGACAGAGUUUAAAAGUUGAGAGUUUGGAAUUUCAUUGCAGCUGGCAUCUAAUGCCUGUGAAGGUGCCAGCGCCCAGAGGGGGAAGGUGAGAGGAUUCUGAGUGGUCUGAACCUUAGUGGAUAGACUGAAAAGGGCCAGCACAGAAUUGUGGUUAUUUGGCGUCACACUGGAGCCAGAGAACUGCCUGCUGGGGUGGAUAGUGUGCCAAAGUUAAAGUUGCAGCCUUCUACUUUAAAAAAGAGUCGGAAUUGAAAGGGACUUCAGUCCAGAUGGCAUCUUUUCCCACUGCAGGAGAAGAAAGAGGGGAAUUAAUGAUACUGCCAUACAAAACUGGGCGUGACAGACACAUUCAAAUGAUUAGAGAAGACCAGAAACCCAAAUGCAACAGGAUCCCACUUGGAAUAUAUUAACAGCACCAGUCACCUGCAUUUUGAACGAUAUUUUAUGGAGUUUGUAAGCAGCAAAAUAUAGGAGCAGUGUGUCCCAGUCCCUGGCAGGCUGCAGAGUUGUGCCUUCUUGGGCUUGCACUGAGGGCACUCCCACAGGUGUCAGGCCCCUCUCCACAUUUCACCCACUCUCAGACCAGGAUCUGGAUUACAGCCUCCUACAUACUGACCAUGAAUAAUUCAGCAAGUCCAGCUGGGAUUGGUCCCUGCCAGAUUUCUCUUUUGGGGGCCUCUGACAGCAUACUCUGACCGUGAUACAGAAAGAGCUUCUUCAAAACAAAGUGUCCUUUAUUUUAUCCAGAAGGUACACAGUGCUUAGAGAAGUGGAUUUUAAAAUAACCAAGACCUACAAGCAUAUCUCCUUACCUAAGCUUAACCCCUCCAUCCACUGCUUAGUGUGGUCUGGGUUAUUCACCAUCUCUGAGUUGGGACCAACAGCCUACACUGAUUGCAGUCCUCUCCCUAGUCCCUGAAUGUCUGGGCUGGUCUACACUAGGGGAGGGGAUCGAUCUAAGAUGCAACUUCAGCUACGUGAAUAACGUAGCUGAAGUCGAAGUAUCUUAGAUCGAAUUACCUACUGUCCUCACGGCGCGGGAUCGACGUCCGCGGCUCCCCCUGUCGACUCCGCUACCACUGCUUGCUCCGGUGGAGUUCCGGAGUCGACAGGAGCGUGUUUGGGGAUCGAUAUAUCGUGUCUAGAUGUGAUGCGAUAUAUCGAUCCCCGAGGAAUCGAUCGCUACCUGCCGAUACGGCAGGUAGUGAAGACGUAGCCUCUCAGACGGUCAGCCUUUUUGCCGACAAAUCCUAGCCAAGCUCUCUCAGCUCACCCAAUACCAUGUCCUUUUUCUAGCAUAUUUAAGGAGUUAGGUCUCCUUUGACCUCAGGCUUAGUUUUAGGAAGAGAACAGCAUCCUACCCUGCAUGGAGCCAGCUAGGUAACUUCUCCUCACAAUUGAUGGCCCAGGAAUUAUUCUCUUAAUUCUUUAGAAGCAGCCUCUUGGAUUCACUGUCUUAUCUUUACCAUUCCUGGGUUCUAGAACACUGUUUUUAUGAUUUAACUCUAUGCACUCAGGCAGGCAGCAAUACAAAAAAUGACCAAGGAAACUGAGUCAUAAGAAAUAUUACAAACAUGUUUCCAAGUUUUUCACAAAGGACCUGACUUUGGGGUUGCUUCUGACACUGGUGUAAAUCUGGAAUAACUCCACUGAAGUAAACAGGUACUCUAGAUUCAGGCUGCUGUAACUCAGAUCAAAAUCUGGCCCUUUUAUGUUCAACGUUCAUUGCAAUGUCAGGGAGACAAAUAUUUGUAUGUGUACUGAGAUACAGUUACAACUUAUAAAAGUGGGUAACAUACAGUAGUAGUGAGGGAAUUAUGAUUCCACAGCUUUUCUGACAGAGAGGGUACAAAUGAGGGCACCGUUAACUUGCAGCAAACUGCAUGAUAAACAAGACGAGAUAGCCUACACUGUGGAAAGGAAGAAUAUUUGCAAAUUUUUAAAGGCAACUUCAGUACUAAAUGCAAAACAUAGGCCCUCAGGCUGAAAGGGGUCUCUUCUGCUCUUUUAGAGCCUGCCCCAACUCCCACGAAGUCAACAGGAGCGUUACCACUGGCUUCAGGAGGAACUGGGUCAAAGCCGACUAUUUUUCAUGGCAUACAUUUCAGCCCAAUGACAGACAAAUAGCGGACGCUGACUUGCAUUCUGUUAAGUCGCUUACUAAGUGAAAAAUAGCGUAUUCUUUUUACAGAGCUUUCUAUUGAUUUAACAGCUGGGCUGAGAAAACACAAGCUGUCCAUGGCUCAUUUGUGUACAUUGGUUCCAAGCCAAAUUAGCUGCUGCGGGAAUACCACAUCACAUUGAUUGUGCUGUGCUCAGGUAAACAUUUAGACUGGCAGGAAUUCCUUACAAGUUACCUAGAUGGAAGAAGUGAAAUCAUGUGUGAAUGCUGUUCUGUUCCAUGGCAUGUGUAGCUAGGACAGCACAACCACUCCUGUCAUAAACUAGUAUGUUACCUUACUUCAGAAAAAUGUUCUGAUUAGAGCAUGCUAUGGAUAAAGGGCUUACUUGAAAUUGACUCGCUCACUCUUGGGUCCGCUGGGGAGAAAAACAAACACUUAAUCAGACUUUGUAAAAUAACCUCUCCUGAUAUUGCUACAGAAGCACAUUGGAAAGUGGUUUUCUAUGGCUGACAUAAACAAUAAUCUGUAAAAUAGCAACAAUUUUGGGAAGUUGAGUUCACUACAUUUUUGUGAAAGUUAAAGAAAUAAACGGCUCACGUAACUACACCUCUACCUUGAUAUAAUGCUGUCCUCGGGAGCCAAAAAAUCUUACUGUGUUAUAGGUGAAACUGAGCUAUAUCGAACUUGCUUUGAUCUGCCGGAGUGCACAGCCCUGCCCCCCCCCCGGGGCACUGCUUUACCACGUUAUAUCCAAAUUCGUGUUAUAUUGGGUCGCGUUAUAUCGGGGUAGAGGUGUAUUUCGAAUUACCGCACCACUGAGAUUUUAAAAAUGUUAUUAAUGGGUCACUACCAGUAAAAUUUGGAUUUGUUAAAAAAAAAAAAAAGUUACAAAGCUUAUCAUCAAUAAACAUAUUUCCAUGGCAUUUUAAAAA